rnacentral:rRNA from 1 species
AGAGUUUGAUCAUGGCUCAGAACGUACGCUGGCGGCACGCCUUAUACAUGCAAGUCGAACGAAGUAGCAAUACUUAGUGGCAGACGGGUGAGUAACAUGUGGGUAUCUUCCCUAUGGUGAGGAAUAACACGAGGAAACUUGUGCUAAUACCUCAUAAGUCUUUACGGAGAAAGCUUUAUGCGCCAUUGGAUGAGCCCGCACUUGAUUAGUUUGUUGGUAGGGUAAUGGCCUACCAAGACUGUGAUCAAUAGCUGAUUUGAGAGGAUGAUCAGCCACAUUGGGACUGAGACACGGCCCAAACUCCUACGGGAGGCAGCAGUAAGGAAUCUUGCACAAUGGAGGAAACUCUGAUGCAGCGAUGCCGCGUGAGUGAAGAAGGCCCUUGGGUUGUAAAGCUCUUUCGUCGGGGAAGAAAAUGACUGUACCCGAAUAAGAAGGUCCGGCUAACUUCGUGCCAGCAGCCGCGGUAAUACGAAGGGACCUAGCGUAGUUCGGAAUUACUGGGCUUAAAGAGUUCGUAGGUGGUUAAAAAAGUUGGUGGUGAAAUCCCAGAGCUUAACUCUGGAACUGCCAUCAAAACUUUUUAGCUAGAGUAUGAUAGAGGAAAGCAGAAUUUCUAGUGUAGAGGUGAAAUUCGUAGAUAUUAGAAAGAAUACCAAUUGCGAAGGCAGCUUUCUGGAUCAUUACUGACACUGAGGAACGAAAGCAUGGGUAGCGAAGAGGAUUAGAUACCCUCGUAGUCCAUGCCGUAAACGAUGUGUGUUAGACGUUGGAAAUUUAUUUUCAGUGUCGCAGCGAAAGCGAUAAACACACCGCCUGGGGAGUACGACCGCAAGGUU